rnacentral:misc_RNA from 1 species
UCCGGUUUGGCACCGGCAGUCUCCCAUGAGUCCCCGCCAUUACGCGCUGGCAACAUGGAACGAGGGUUGCGCUCGUUGCGGGACUUAACCCAACAUCUCACGACACGGGCUGACGACAACCAUGCACCACCUGUUCACCUGCCCCGAAGGGAGACCGUGUUUCCACGGCUGUCAGGUGAAUGUCAAGCCCAGGUAAGGUUCUUCGCGUUGCGUCGAAUUAAACCACAUGCUCCGCUGCUUGUGCGGGCCCCCGUCAAUUCCUUUGAGUUUUAGCCUUGCGGCCGUACUCCCCAGGCGGGGCACUUAAUGCGUUAGCUUCGGCACGGGGGGAGUCGACACCCCCCACACCUAGUGCCCAUCGUUUACAGCGUGGACUAC